rnacentral:tRNA from 45 species
GGGUCGUUAGCUCAGUUGGUAGAGCAGCGGACUUUUAAUCCGUUGGUCGCUGGUUCGAGCCCAGCACGGCCUACCA